rnacentral:rRNA from 1 species
CCUACGGGUGGCAGCAGUAGGGAAUAUUGCUCAAUGGAGGAAACCCUGAAGCAGCAACGCAGCGUGGAGGAUGAAGGUUUUCUGAGUGUAAACUCCUUUUGUUAUGGAAGUUAAUUACGGUAUCUAACGAAUAAUCACCGGCUAACUCCGUUCCAGCAGCCGCGGUAAUACGGAGGGUGCAAGCGUUACUCGGAAUCACUGGGCGUAAAGAGCGCGUAGGCGGGAUAGCAAGUCAGAUGUGAAAUCCUAUGGCUUAACCAUAGAACUGCAUUUGAUACUGUUAUUCUAGAGUAUGGGAGAGGUAGGCGGAAUUCGUGGUGUAGGGGUAAAAUGCGUAGAGAUCAAGAGGAAUACUGAUUGCGAAGGCGACCUGCUAGAAUAUAACUGACGCUGAUGCGCGAAAGUGUGGGGAGCAAACAGGAUUAGAUACCCGAGUAGUC